rnacentral:rRNA from 1 species
UACAGAGGGUGCAAGCGUUAAUCGGAAUUACUGGGCGUAAAGCGUGCGUAGACGGUUACAUAAGUCGGGUGUGAAAGCCCCGGGCUCAACCUGGGAAUGGCAUGGGAAACUGGCGAGCUGGAGUGCGGCAGAGGGGGGUGGAAUUCCGCGUGUAGCAGUGAAAUGCGUAGAGAUGCGGAGGAACACCGAUGGCGAAGGCAGCCCCCUGGGUCGACACUGACGCUCAGGCACGAAAGCGUGGGGAGCAAACAGG